GCCGCCUUAGCUCAGUCGGUCAGAGCGACGCACUCGUAAUGCGUAGGUCGUCGGUUCGAUUCCGACAGGCGGCU
rnacentral:tRNA from 1 species